AGUACGCCAGUCAAUCUUGGUCAAGAUCUCAGAGAACUUGACUGCAAUGUGAGAGGUGUGGCAAUCAAGAACUGGGGUGUAACCAUUUUUAAUCUGACCAAGGUGGUUCAUGAUGACGACCUGGGAGGUGAAGCUAGCAGCAACCUUUGCAGGAUCAUCCUUGGAGUUUGAGGCGACGUACCCACGCUUAAGUCCCCAAAGAAAGAAACUAAGGAUCAAAUUUUGCAGCCAAUAUGGAAUGUGCAGCCUUCACUCCAUGGCAUCAUUUCAGAUCUAUAUCGUUUGGUCCCUACAUUCAUCAGUGGAAGCUAAGUGCCGACCACAUGUAAAGUAAAAUGUUGGUAGCUCAUUAGCAAUCUAGAAGGAGUCAUAGCAUCUUCAGUAAUAUCACGAUAACGAAGAGAAAUAUUCAUCGGGGUGGCCAUGCUUUGUUGUCCAAUUUCUUGUCCUUGUGUCAAUGUAGGAGGCAAGAGAUGUGAUGAGGAAGAACCUGUAUAUAAAAUAGGUAUAUUGAGAAGGUAUUAAAGAAUCUUAAAUUCAUUAAAUAGAAGAUUAUAAGUGUCUUUUUUUAUACCGAUUUCAUUAACUUCUCGUGAACGCUUGUUCUUGAGAAAAGAUGACCUGGAAACAUUUGACCAAGGCGUUAAAUGUUCGAUGUCCCAUGGUGAAACUUGGUUUGGUCUCGGAAAUGAUGCAAAUUCAUCCCACUGCACCUGCAACAUUAGAGUUAAUUAGUGAUAUGCUAUUUAUUGCACUCAAAAACGUAUUUCUAAAAUAAUGUUAUAAAGUGUGAAUGAAAUUUUACUUCUAAGCU